rnacentral:rRNA from 1 species
AUGCGUGCUCCGGUGAGCCUCCUGCACCGCGCCGUCCUCGCCAACACUGGCCCGGGCGAGCCGUCGUUGCCGCCAGCGACUAUGAAGGCCCCUGACCAGCAGCAGACGGCGCCUGCCAUGGCGGUGAACUCGGACAUGGUGGUCAUCUUGGCGUCGUUGCUAUGUGCGCUCGUCUGCGUCCUUGGUCUCGCCCUCGUCUCCCGAUGCACGUGCCGACGGCGCCGCUCGGCCUCAUCCUCCGAUCACGCCCCUCCUCCCCCAAAGGGCCUCAAGAAGAAGGCCAUCGACGCGCUCCCCACCGUCUCCUUCGCCACUACAGCUUCGCCGGCUCCGGCGACGUGCUCGUCCUCUGAGUGCGCCAUAUGCCUGGCGGAAUUCGCGGAAGGGGAUGGCCUGCGUGUGCUCCCGCUGUGCAGCCAUCGCUUCCACGUUGCCUGCGUUGACGCCUGGCUCCGGACGUGCGCCACAUGCCCCUCGUGUCGUGCCCCCAUCGUUGCUACGCCCGCGCAGCGGCCGGUGACAACCACGGUGGUGGUCGUGAUGGCGGCAAACAAUAGGUGCGAGAGGUGCGGCGAUCUGGCGGCGCCGACCGGUGGUGGCGCUGACACGUUUUUAACUUAG